GAUGAACGCUGGCGGCGUGCCUAAUACAUGCAAGUCGAGCGAACAGACGUGGAUCUUGCUCCUCUGACGUUAGCGGCGGACGGGUGAGUAACACGUGGAUAACCUCCCUAUCAGACUGGGAUAACUUCGGGACACCGGAGCUAAUACCGGAUAAUAUAUUGAACCGGAGGGUUCAAUUGUGAAAGACGGUUUUGCUGUCACGUAUAGAUGGAACCGGGCCGCUUUUGCUAGUUGGUAAGGUAACGGCUUACCAAGUCAACGAUUCGUAGCCGACCAGAGAGAGGGAUAGUCGACACUGGAAGUGAGACACGGUCCAGACUCCUACGGGAGGCAGCAGUAGGGAAUCUUCGGCAAUGGGCGAAAGCAUGACGGAGCAACGCGGCGUGAGUUAUGAGGGUAUUCGGAUCGGAAAGCAGUGUUAUUAGGGAAGAAGAAAUGUGUAAGUAACUAUGCACGUAUUGACGGUACCUGAUCAGAAAGCAACGGCUAACUACGUG
rnacentral:rRNA from 1 species